rnacentral:misc_RNA from 1 species
CGGCUGCCCAAAUCAUUCGACGCAAACAGCGUAUUCAAGCGUUUUCCUUUCCCGCCUUCAUCACCGUCGAAUAAAUUCACGGCUAAUGAAGACACAAAAUCGGCCUUCGCCGAUUGAAGAAUCAGUCCGCGAAGGCGGACUUUGUGCUUUCCGUAGCCGCAACUGCGCUACGCUUGCCAUUCGACGGGCAAAAACCGGCAAUAGCUCACACAACUGAAAGACGGCUGAUCUCCACGAUCCGCGCGUCAUUAAGUUCUUCCGCACCCGUCCA